rnacentral:rRNA from 1 species
ACAAUGGAGAGUUUGAUCCUGGCUCAGGAUGAACGCUAGCGGCAGGCUUAAUACAUGCAAGUCGAGGGGCAGCACAGGUAGCAAUACCGGGUGGCGACCGGCAAACGGGUGCGGAACACGUACAGAACCUUCCUUUAAGUGGGGGAUAGCCCAGAGAAAUUUGGAUUAAUACCCCGUAACAUUGCUGAGUGGCAUCACUUAACAAUUAUAGAUUUAUCGCUUAGAGAUGGCUGUGCGGCUGAUUAGGUAGUUGGUGCGGGUAACGGCCCACCAAGCCUUCGAUCAGUAACUGGUGUGAGAGCACGACCAGUCACACGGGCACUGAGACACGGGCCCGACUCCUACGGGAGGCAGCAGUAAGGAAUAUUGGUCAAUGG